rfam:Hordeum vulgare subsp. vulgare, WGS project CAJW01000000 data, contig: morex_contig_42789
GAACUACUCCCUCCGUCCGGAAUUACUUGUCACAAAAAUGGAUACAAAUGGAUGUAUCUAGAACUAAGAUACAUCCAUUCUUACGACAAGUAUUUCCGGACGGAGGGAGUAGAUG